rnacentral:rRNA from 1 species
GACGAACGCUGGCGGCGUGCUUAACACAUGCAAGUCGGGCGGUAAGGCCCUUUCGGGGGUACGACGAGCGGCGAACGGGUGAGUAACACGUGGGUGACCUGCCCUCAGCUCUGGGAUAAGCCCGGGAAACUGGGUCUAAUACUGGAUAUGACUCCAUGACGCAUGUUGUGGGGUGGAAAGCCUUGUGCGGCUGGGGAUGGGCCCGCGGCCUAUCAGCUUGUUGGUGGGGUGAGGCCUACCAAGGCGACGACGGGUAGCCGGCCUGAGGGGGCGACCGGCCACACUGGGACUGAGACACGGCCCAGACUCCUACGGGAGGCAGCAGUGGGGAAUCUUGCGCAAUGGGCGAAAGCCUGACGCAGCGACGCCGCGUGAGGGA